AUGUCUGAGGGUCUUGCCACCUCUGCUUCACCGCUGUCUCCCUCGCAGGUGAAGAGGCAGCAGUCAGGCUGGAGCAGCUGGCCUCAGUGGUGGUGUGCACGGCCACCCUGGCUCAGCUUGGCCAUCCCGCCGUACAUGGCCCACACCACGGUCAGCUACAUCCAGUUGUUACAACAUGAAGCUCAGGAGGGGGCUGCGUUUUGUGGAAGCUGUAACCAGUGUGACAGCUCAUACUGGAUCAAGACAUUUGGAAAAGGGACUAAGCUCACAGUAACUCCCUCUGGUAGAAGCUUUCCUGUAGACAUUUCCCCCAAGCCCACCAUUUUUCUUCCUUCAAUUGCUGAAAUAAACCUCCAUAAUGCUGGGACAUUUCUUUGUCUUCUUGAGAAAUUCUUCCCUGAUGUUAUCAAGGUAUAUUGGAAAGAAAAGAAUGGCAAUAGAAUUCUGGAAUCCCAGCAGGGAAAUACCAUGAAGACUAAUGACAUGUACACGAAAUUCAGCUGGCUGACCGUGACGGGAAGGUCAAUGGAUAAAGAGCACAGAUGUAUCAUCCAACAUGAGAAUAAUAUUGGAGGGGUUGACCAAGAGAUUCUUUUUCCUUCAGUGAACAAAGUUGUCACCUCAGUUGUCAGUACUACUGAUUCUACACAGGCUUUCCCGAAAGAUGAAAGCAAGGUCAGUGUUGCUGAUUCUACCACAGCUUCCCCAGCAGAGCAAAGUGGUAAGUUUUUUUACAUGCUUGCCUUCAUGUCAUGCUAUAGAAAUUUUUCCCUUCUGAUCAAAUUACCUUUUGGACUUCCUGGUUCAUAG